rnacentral:rRNA from 1 species
GGACGGGUGAGUAAUGCAUAGGAAUCUACCUAGUAGCGGGGGAUAGCCCGAGGAAACUCGGAUUGAUACCGCAUACGAUCUACGGAUGAAAGGGGGCCUCUUCUUGAAAGCUCUCACUAUUAGAUGAGCCUAUGUCAGAUUAGCUUGUUGGUGGGGUAAAAGCUCACCAAGGCAACGAUCUGUAGCUGGUCUGAGAGGACGAUCAGCCACACCGGAACUGAGACACGGUCCGGACUCCUACGGGAGGCAGCAGUGGGGAAUAUUGGACAAUGGGGGCAACCCUGAUCCAGCAAUGCCGCGUGUGUGAAGAAGGCCUGCGGGUUGUAAAGCACUUUCAGUCGUGAAGAAAACUUUAAGAUUAAUAAUCUUAGAGCGUGACGUUAACGACAGAAGAAGCACCGGCUAACUCCGUGCCAGCAGCCGCGGUAAUACGGAGGGUGCGAGCGUUAAUCGGAAUUACUGGGCGUAAAGGGUACGUAGGUGGUAAUGUCAGUUGGAUGUGAAAGCCCCGAGCUUAACUUGGGAACUGCGUUCAAUACUGCAUUACUAGAGUAUGGGAGAGGUAAGUGGAAUUUCUGGUGUAGCGGUGAAAUGCGUUGAUAUCAGAAGGAACAUCGAUGGCGAACGCAGCUUACUGGCCCAAUACUGACACUGAUGUACGAAAGCGUGGGGAGCAAACAGGAUUAGAUACCCUGGUAGUCCACGCCGUAAC